rnacentral:lncRNA from 1 species
GAGUCUAUGGUGUGGAGACAUCGAAGUGAAAGUACAGGUAUUCGUUGAGAAUGAAAGUACUGAGCGUGACCAUAUCGAGUAGUCAUAAGAAAAUCUACCUUCUCGUCGAUGACAAAGCUCGAUGCUGCAGUUGUGUGUCUAGUUCUUUGACCUGAGGUGCAUCGACAGUUCACCUUGAGUGUGUUAUAGUUUAACUAUACCAUAACUCGGUCUCCUAGCCAUUCGGAAUCC